UACAGAGGGUGCAAACGUUGCUCGGAAUUACUGGGCGUAAAGCGCGCGUAGGCUGACACGCAAGUCGAGUGUGAAAUCCCUGGGCUCAACCUAGGAACUGCAUUCGAAACUGCAUGUCUUGAGUGCUGGAGAGGGAAGCGGAAUUCCGGGUGUAGAGGUGAAAUUCGUAGAUAUCCGGAGGAACACCAGUGGCGAAGGCGGCUUCCUGGACAGUAACUGACGCUGAGGCGCGAAAGCGUGGGGAG
rnacentral:rRNA from 1 species